rnacentral:lncRNA from 1 species
CCCAGCAAGACGGCUUUGUCCUCGCUCAACAGGAGUCCUUCUAGCUCUUUCUUUAGAAAUGCCCGAAGCUCUGUAAAGUGGCCUCCCUUAUUCCCAAUUGCUUUGCUCGGACCAAAAAAAUGGGAGACUGCAUCGUGCAGGCUGAAAUGGUUUGACCCUGAUCCUGAGUCUGCCUGGAUGGCAAGGUCAUGUUCCAGCACUUCACCCACUGUGAGAAACAAACCAGACUGCAGAGGGACUGUCCCUACUCCCGGAUGAUAACAGGUGACGAGCAGAACACUUCUGCAUCCAGUUGGAGAACGUUGUAGAAUGAGUUGAUAUGAAUGGGAAGAGCUAGAAAGAUCGUGAAGACUCGGGUUCCCACCAUAUUUACAUCUGUGAUGGUGGAGACGCUGUGUGAACAAUGGAAGCACUGGACCAAAGGGUGAGAAAGCAGGGGAGUGGGGCUGGGAGAUGACUUGGUGUGUGUAAUCAUUUUCCACAUAACCAUGAAGUCCUG